rnacentral:rRNA from 1 species
UACGGGGGGGGGCAAGCGUUGUUCGGAAUUACUGGGCGUAAAGGGCUCGUAGGCGGCCAACUAAGUCGGAUGUGAAAUCCCCAGGCUUAACCUGGGAACUGCAUCCGAUACUGGAUGGCUUGAAUCCGGGAGAGGGAUGCGGAAUUCCAGGUGUAGCGGUGAAAUGCGUAGAUAUCUGGAGGAAUACCGGUGGCGAAGGCGGCAUCCUGGACCGGCAUUGACGCUGAGGAGCGAAAGCCAGGGGAGCAAACGGG